GGCGAGAUGGCCGAGUGGUCUAAGGCGCUGGUUUUAGGCACCAGUCUCCCCGGAGGCGUGGGUUCGAAUCCCACUCUCGUCA
rfam:Anisakis simplex genome assembly, scaffold: ASIM_scaffold0000684